CCGCCCUACGGGGGGCAGCAGUGGGGAAUAUUGCACAAUGGGCGAAAGCCUGAUGCAGCAACGCCGCGUGAAGGAAGAAGGGUUUCGGCUCGUAAACUUCUAUCAACAGGGACGAAAGAAAUGACGGUACCUGAAUAAGAAGCCCCGGCUAACUACGUGCCAGCAGCCGCGGUAAUACGUAGGGGGCAAGCGUUAUCCGGAUUUACUGGGUGUAAAGGGAGCGUAGACGGCGCGGCAAGUCUGAAGUGAAAGGCAGGGGCUUAACCCCUGAACUGCUUUGGAAACUGCCACGCUAGAGUGCUGGG
rnacentral:rRNA from 1 species